rnacentral:rRNA from 1 species
GAUGAACGCUGGCGGCGUGCCUAAUACAUGCAAGUCGAGCGAACAGACGAGGAGCUUGCUCCUUUGACGUUAGCGGCGGACGGGUGAGUAACACGUAGGUAACCUACCUAUAAGACUGGGAUAACUUCGGGAAACCGGAGCUAAUACCGGAUAAUAUUUCGAACCGCAUGGUUCGAUAGUGAAAGAUGGCUUUGCUAUCACUUAUAGAUGGACCUGCGCCGUAUUAGCUAGUUGGUAAGGUAACGGCUUACCAAGGCAACGAUACGUAGCCGACCUGAGAGGGUGAUCGGCCACACUGGAACUGAGACACGGUCCAGACUCCUACGGGAGGCAGCAGUAGGGAAUCUUCCGCAAUGGGCGAAAGCCUGACGGAGCAACGCCGCGUGAGUGAUGAAGGUCUUCGGAUCGUAAAACUCUGUUAUUAGGGAAGAACAAACGUGUAAGUAACUGUGCACGUCUUGACGGCACCUAAUCAGAAAGCCACGGCUAACUACGUG